GAGGCGAUGAGGGACAGUUGGGGACAACUGGGGUUGGAUGGAGAUGGAGGCAAUGAGGGACAGUUGGGGACAACGGGGGUUGGAUGGAGAUGGAGGCAAUGAGGGACAGUUGGGGACAAAUGGGGUUGGAUGGAGAUGGAGGCAAUGAGGGACAGUUGGGGACAAAUGGGGUUGGAUGGAGAUGGAGGCAAUGAGGGACAGUUGGGGACAACUGGGG